rnacentral:tRNA from 1 species
CGGUGUGUAGCGCAGCUGGUAGCGCGCCUGGUUUGGGGCCAGGGGGUCGCCCGUUCGAAUCGGGUCGCACCGACCA